GACGAACGCUGGCGGCGUGCCUAAUACAUGCAAGUAGAACGCUGAAGAGAGGAGCUUGCUCUUCUUGGAUGAGUUGCGAACGGGUGAGUAACGCGUAGGUAACCUGCCUUGUAGCGGGGGAUAACUAUUGGAAACGAUAGCUAAUACCGCAUAACAAUAGGUGACACAUGUCAUUUAUUUGAAAGGGGCAAUUGCUCCACUACAAGAUGGACCUGCGUUGUAUUAGCUAGUAGGUGAGGUAACGGCUCACCUAGGCGACGAUACAUAGCCGACCUGAGAGGGUGAUCGGCCACACUGGGACUGAGACACGGCCCAGACUCCUACGGGAGGCAGCAGUAGGUAAUCUUCGGCAAUGGGGGCAACCCUGACCGAGCAACGCCGCGUGAGUGAAGAAGGUUUUCGGAUCGUAAAGCUCGGUUGUAAGUCAAGAACGAGUGUGAGAGUGGAAAGUUCACACUGUGACGGUAGCUUACCAGAAAGGGACGGCUAACUACGUG
rnacentral:rRNA from 1 species